GUUGAAGCACUAGUUCACGUACGAUCACUGAAGAUAAGCAACGUUGAGUCCACUCAGUACCAGGAUGGGUGACAACUUGGGAAUAGCAGG